UAAGAAUAGUGAGCGCACGGGUGCGUAACGCCCCCCCUUAAAAGUACCUGAAUCUGGGGGAUAGCCCGCCGAAAGGCGGAUUAAUACCGCAUAAAACCACAGAACGGCAGUCGUUUAAUGGUUAAAGAUUUAUUGGAUUCAGAUGGGGUUGCGUGCCAUUAGCUAGUUGGGGAGGUAACGGCUCACCAAGGCGACGAUGGCUAGGGGAGCUGAGAGGCUGGUCCCCCACACGGGCACUGAGAUACGGGCCCGACUCCUACGGGAGGCAGCAGUAGGGAAUAUUGGGCAAUGGACGAGAGUCUGACCCAGCCAUGCCGCGUGCAGGAUGAAGGCUUUCUGAGUCGUAAACUGCUUUUAUCAGGGAAGAAAAAAGGGUGUGCGCACUCUACUGACGGUACCUGAUGAAUAAGCACCGGCUAACUCCGUGCCAGCAGCCGCGGUAAUACNGAGGGUGCAAGCGUUGUCCGGAUUUAUUGGGUUUAAAGGGUGCGUAGGCGGUUCUUUAAGUCCGGGGUGAAAGCCCACUGCUCAACAGUGGAACUGCCCUGGAAACUGGAGGACUUGAGUACAGACGAGGGUGGNGGAAUGGAUACUGUAGNGGCGAAAUGCAUAGAUAGUAUCCAGAACACCGAUUGCNAAGGCAGCUGCCUAGACUGUAACUGACGCUGANGCACGAGAGCGUGNGUGAGCGAACAGGAUUAGAUACCCUGGUAGUCCACGCCGUNAACNAUGGGAUACUCNUCUGGUGGCGAUAGAUGGUCACUGGCNUUAACGAAAGCGUUNAGUAUCCCCNCCUGGGGAGUACGCUCGCCAGAGUGAAACUCAAAAGAAUUUGACGGGGGC
rnacentral:rRNA from 1 species